AGUGAACGCUGGCGGUAGGCCUAACACAUGCAAGUCGAACGGCAGCACAGUAAGAGCUUGCUCUUACGGGUGGCGAGUGGCGGACGGGUGAGGAAUACAUCGGAAUCUACUUUUUCGUGGGGGAUAACGUAGGGAAACUUACGCUAAUACCGCAUACGACCUACGGGUGAAAGCAGGGGAUCUUCGGACCUUGCGCGAUUGAAUGAGCCGAUGUCGGAUUAGCUAGUUGGCGGGGUAAAGGCCCACCAAGGCGACGAUCCGUAGCUGGUCUGAGAGGAUGAUCAGCCACACUGGAACUGAGACACGGUCCAGACUCCUACGGGAGGCAGCAGUGGGGAAUAUUGGACAAUGGGCGCAAGCCCGAUCCAGCCAUACCGCGUGGGUGAAGAAGGCCUUCGGGUUGUAAAGCCCUUUUGUUGGGAAAGAAAAGCAGCAGGUUAAUACCCCGCUGUUCUGACGGUACCCAAAGAAUAAGCAACGGCUAACUUCGUG
rnacentral:rRNA from 1 species